UACGAAGGGUGCUAGCGUUGCUCGGAAUCACUGGGCGUAAAGCGCACGUAGGCGGAUUGUUAAGUCAGGGGUGAAAUCCUGGAGCUCAACUCCAGAACUGCCUUUGAUACUGGCGAUCUCGAGUCCGGGAGAGGUGAGUGGAACUGCGAGUGUAGAGGUGAAAUUCGCAGAUAUUCGCAAGAACACCAGUGGCGAAGGCGGCUCACUGGCCCGGUACUGACGCUGAGGUGCGAAAGCGUGGGGAGCAAACAGG
rnacentral:rRNA from 1 species